rnacentral:rRNA from 1 species
GAUGAACGCUGGCGGCGUGCCUAAUACAUGCAAGUCGAGCGAACGGACGAGAAGCUUGCUUCUCUGAUGUUAGCGGCGGACGGGUGAGUAACACGUGGAUAACCUACCUAUAAGACUGGGAUAACUUCGGGAAACCGGAGCUAAUACCGGAUAAUAUUUUGAACCGCAUGGUUCAAAAGUGAAAGACGGUCUUGCUGUCACUUAUAGAUGGAUCCGCGCUGCAUUAGCUAGUUGGUAAGGUAACGGCUUACCAAGGCAACGAUGCAUAGCCGACCUGAGAGGGUGAUCGGCCACACUGGAACUGAGACACGGUCCAGACUCCUACGGGAGGCAGCAGUAGGGAAUCUUCCGCAAUGGGCGAAAGCCUGACGGAGCAACGCCGCGUGAGUGGUGAAGGUCCUCGGAUCGUAAAACUCUGUUAUUAGGGAAGAACAUAUGUGUAAGUAACUGUGCACAUCUUGACGGUACCUAAUCAGAAAGCCACGGCUAACUACGUG